rnacentral:ncRNA from 2 species
AGUGUACAAUUUAAAUGGUUCCGUAUAUGCCUGGGAAUUGGCCCGGGCGUUUCUACCGGGCGACCGUAAUUGCCCGACUACGGGAGGGAAAGUGUACCUA